rnacentral:rRNA from 1 species
CAUUAUUGGAUUGAUUUGAAGAGUUGGAGAAAAAGAGUUAGAGGCUGUCGCUGGCUAGCUUAAAGCAUGUGCACGCUUGUUUCUCUGUCUUUCUCCAUCUCUUUCUCNCACACACACACACACCUGUGCACCCACUGUAGGCCCUCGAAAGAGGAUCUAUGUUUUACUUUAUCACCCAGUCGUAUGUCCAUAGAAUGUAUCCAAUCUAUUAUACAACUUUCAGCAACGGAUCUCUUGGCUCUCGCAUCGAUGAAGAACGCAGCGAAUUGCGAUAAGUAAUGUGAAUUGCAGAUUUUCAGUGAAUCAUCGAAUCUUUGAACGCACCUUGCGCUCCUUGGUAUUCCGAGGAGCAUGCCUGUUUGAGUGUCAUUGAAUUCUCAACCAUGCCUUGAUUGAUUUCGAGGCAUGGCUUGGAAAUUGGAGGUUGCCGGCGUCGAAAGACCUUGUCGGCUCUUCUGAAAUAUAUUAGCGAUGGACGGCAACAUGCACGGCCUUUCGACGUGAUAAUGAUCGUCGUGGGCUGGAGUGGGGAAUAGCUUUUUGUCUGUUCGCUUCCAACAUAUUUGGAGACCUUUGACUUUUGGUUCGGGCUUUGCGAAUGUCAGCUACUAGUUGGUCGCAAGACUAGCGAAUGCGACGGAAGCUCGCUCGAUACUUAGGGUUUUUGGUCUACAACUUUUGACAACUUGACCUCAAAUCAGGUAGGACUACCCGCUGAACUUAAGCAUAUCAAUAAGCGGAGGAAAAGAAACUAACAAGGAUUCCCCUAGUAACUGCGAGUGAAGCGGGAAGAGCUCAAAUUUUGAAUCGGGCGGUCUGACCGUCCGAGUUGUAAUCUAGAGA